CUCCCCUCACCUGCAAUGGCGAAUCCAGCUGAAAACCCAGCAAUGGAAACUCCGUACCCAGCAACUCCUUCUUCUUCUUGUUCCUCUCCUUAUACUCCAAAACCAGAGAACCCAGCACCCCAAAGCCCCUCACCGUCACCGGCACUAGCAUCAACGGCGAGGCUGUGGAGACCCACCGCGCAGAGAAACCUGAGAAAUCAAUGGCCCAAGUUAUCUUCUUGCAGACAGCAAUGGGCUUCUUCUUCUUCCACUGCAAGAUCACACGCCACCUCUCUCGUAAACUCGUAUCUUUCUCUCAAAUACAUGCCUUCAAUGGAGUUGGGAGUUCUGAGUGAUAUGCCUAAUAUACGAAAGAAAGCUUCCAGAAAUUAUUUAAGCAGCAGGAGCUUCAUCGAAGCGGACUUUUAUCCUCGUACAAGGACUUGGUUUCAGUUGUAACUCACAUGGUCCAAACUAGUAGAUCCAUGAGAUGCUUUGUCAAGGGGCAACCAAUAAUCCACUCGUACAAUCUUCUGGCUGUUCUGAAGAUAAGAAUGAUCCCGGAGAUGGUGGCGGAAUUCCAGUCUUUGCAUUUUGGUCCAUCUCUUGCUUUGAAAAACUGGCGGAUGAGCUUGUCCAGAUGUUUAUAUUGGAGCUAAAUUUGAAGCGUUUGGUUGUAGUGGAAUUACUUUCAAUUAGUUGUGAUGUUCCAACAGUAAACAGUUUGGAUUGGUCGGAUGAGCUUUAUCCGGGAGAAUUUGGUGAGUUGAGUAUAUGCAACUUAUAUGGUGAGGAGACUUGUAAGCCAAUCUAUCCAAGAUUGGAUGAUCAGAAAUUCGAAAUGCGAGCUGCACGAUGUAAUCAGCAGCCAGAUCAUGAUGUUUUGCAGGUUUAUCUAACGACGUGGAUUGCAGAGGUGAAUAUAGACGCACACAGGGUGGACGAAAUAUUUGCGGAAGUUGGGGAAGAAAUGCAUGUUAGGAUUUCAUGAACUGGCGGUCUGGCUAGAAACAGAACGCCGGAAAAUUUGUUAAGGAGGUACUUAUGCUGAUAGACUGAAGAUUCAAUACUCAUUUGAAGCGUCCCUCACGACUUAUAAAGAAAGAGAAAGUCCUAAAAGACCCGGACUAUGGCCAAAGAAAGAAUCUUCAAAUGAUGGAGGCAUCUACAGAUAAGGAAUCAGUGCAGAGAAAUGCUGAAUUAUAUUUCUCUAGUUGUUUAUGUGCAUGUUGGUAGGUAGCACGACUCGCCAAAAACCAGAGUAGCACUUGUAAUUUUGGUGUUAUUGACUUGAUUAAUUUUUGUAUUGGUUUUAAUCAUUGCUUAAACGUCCUUUGAGUUGAUCGUGAAGGUAUAUUACCGGUGUUAUAGGCACCGGGAUGAUCUCUA